AUCCCUGCUCCAAAAACGAAACCUUCCGGGAAAUCACUCCUGCUGUAACUGUAAGCAUGGCAGCAUUUUCCAAGUCCAGACGAAGCUACAAGAAGAAGCAACACAAUCAUGUUUACGAGAGACAAAACCCCUUCCAUUUUGGGCUCUACGAGUGACGGCUCUGGUGACAAGUGCCUCGGCUGCUGAUUCUGUUUUGUCCCAGUUUUGUGGAUUUCAUCAGUUCGAAGAUCCGAUGAUUAUCAAGCUAAGAACUUGUCACUUUCUCGAAUCAAAGAAUAUGCAUAUCUUAUGCUAUGUUGAUACAUCCAAUUUGGAUAUACGAUAAAUAAGAAAUUACAUAACCAAUCAUAUAUAAAACCUAUAAAUUGCCAAAUUGGCUUACAAGCUUUCUUGGUGUUACUAGGUAAAAUCAUAAGAAGAUGAAGAAAUAAAAAAUGUAAUUGGUAAAAUUAACUUAUCCAAA